rnacentral:rRNA from 1 species
CACGUAGGGGACGAGCGUUGUCCGGAUUCAUUGGGCGUAAAGCGCGCGUAGGCGGCUCGGAAAGUCGGGCGUGAAAUGCCGGGGCUCAACCCCGGGACUGCGUCCGAUACUUCCGAGCUGGAGGUAGGUAGGGGAGAUCGGAAUUCCUGGUGUAGCGGUGAAAUGCGCAGAUAUCAGGAAGAACACCAAUGGCGAAAAGCAGCUUUCUGGGACGGUACUGACGCUGAGACGCGAAAGCGUGGGGAGCGAACAGG